GCACUCUGUUGUAUCCGUAAGAAAAAAAAAACCCAACCCUCCCCAAAGAGCAUUAAAAUAGCCCUGGUUGUGGGAUUUCUGUGCUUGCAACUGAAAAAAACCAUAUGGCUAACUCAAAAUGUCAUAAUGGGAAUGAUCCUCCAAGCUGUGAUUCAUGGGGUUUUUUUUAACAGUGAUGGUCAUAAAUAUCUAUUGCCCACCAGCCAUCUGUAUUGGCCACUUUGCUUCAGCUUAAUACACACAGACAGAAAUAGCCAAUGAAGAAAUUCACUGACAAGUAUUUCAACAAAGAAGAAAAAGGAAAAAAAAAAAAGUGCCUGGUGGAGUAUGAGAGAUCUGAGGCCUUUUAAAGUAUGCAGCAAUGUACCACAUCUGAGAAAAAAAAAGUAUAGAAUCAUUGUGUUUGGUUUUACAGUAUCACAUGGGCUUGCAGUGCAACAUAAUUUUUGUAGCAUUUUGGGGGGAAACUUUGCUUUUUACAAAUAAUGGUAAUCGGUGCAGUUUGUUCUCCUCAGGAAUGGCAGCAACUUUUGGUUACAGGCCAUUAAAUCAGCACUAAAAAUAGAUGUGGAUGAGAUCAGUUGGUGGUCUCCUGUAUUUUGCUGUGGCCUUCUCCUGGCAGGAGGCAGGUUGUCUGGCAGCUCAGCCUCUCCUUCUGGGCUGACUUGUUAUGAAUUUGAAAAGAACUGUAUAAUGUUGAACCUAAUUUGCAGUAGGAAUUAAAUCAGAAGUCCCCUUCUUUUCAUCUGACCACCAGUUAAACCCAGCUUUUAUGUGUGUGUGCGCCUUUUGUAAACUCCUUUAGGGUGAAUUAAAAGACCCAAGAGUUCUUUUACAUUUCCAGGGUUGUUUUUCAAGCUCUUCAAAUGAGGGCAAAAGUAAAAUUCUCAACGUGAUUGCAGUAUUUCUUGCCAUGCUGCAAGAACCGGGGUGACCUACUUAAAUACAAUUUCAAAGAUACAAACUGUGCAAUGUGUCUCAUGAUGUAAAGAGACAGAAAUACAAUUAACGGUGACUUUGUGGGUUUGGGGAUAGUUGGGUUCUUUGCAAACUGCAGGUUUUUGGUGGUGUGCAGGCCCUGCUGACAGCACAGCAGCUGCUGGCGAUAACUUUCCUUCAGAGCCCUUCUUUUCCACUGCAGUGCUACUGACUGGUUCAGUAUCAGGUAGAGCCCUUCCAAAUUUAGAAUGCAGAGUAAUAAUUGAUUUUAAUGUCAGGAUUUGUAAUGAAUAUAAUGAAGCUGUGUCCAGCAUACCCAAUUUAUCCAGUGGAACCAUUAAAAAAAGGGACCCAGCUGGAGCUGGUCUUUUUUCAGCCUCACUGCAGCGAGCCUUGGCUCACGGUUUGAUUCACUCUGUACCCUGACACGUAGCUGAUGUUGAGAGUGACAGAAUGAGAUCAAGGGUGUCCUUGCUGCUGUGUGUAAGCCCCAAAUAUAUACACAGGCAGAGCAAUGUGCUUGGAUUGGCAUCAAGGAAAUUUCAGGAAACUGGCAAAGUCAACCUUGACUUCUGGAUGGUGUUCCAGCCACAGAAUAGCAGACACACGUAGUUUGAUCAUGGUAAAGAGAUCAUUUCGGUGUAGCAUGUUGGUGUCUGUUUACAUAAACACUCUGAUGAGGCUGUACAUGUCAAGACCAAGUCUGACACUCCUUCAUGCCAAGAAAAGGAAAGUGUGGAGUGAAGUGCUUUCCAGUCUGCUACUAUCACUUCUGUGAGGAAAAGGGCAGGGCAGCAGAGCAGGACUUCAGCACUGCAGCCCUAGAAAGAUGCUGAUUAAUUUUGAAGCCAUCUUGGACAACCGCUUAUUGCAACUUUUUUUUCUUUUGUAUAAAAUCUUUAGCUCCUUUGGUCACUUCAGCUGAGCCCUGAAAGCACAGUGAAUUUUUGAAUCACUGGAAACAAAUGAUGUAAAAUUUGACCUUUGAUGUAGUUUUAUUUUUUUCUUGAUUAUGCUGAUUCUAUUUCUGACUCAAAGCAGAAUUUUGCUUAUUACAUAUAUAAUAUUACAUAUAUAUACACAUAUAUAUAUAUAGAUGCAUCUCUCUCUGCCCCUGAAGUAUCCUUGCUGAUGCAAUCAUGUACUGGACAAGGCUAUUUUGUUACUGGAAUCUUCUUAGAUUCCUGUUUAGGAAAUAAUUGAAAGCUGUCUUUGCUGCAGCAACAUAAUGGAGUAAUUUGAUACAACAAUCCCUUUCAUUUAAUAUUUAUGUUUUGCUGCUUAAAUCAUUAACAAGCGGUGCUGCAAUCUAGUGAAAAUGAGUUUCUUUAGAAGGCAAAAUGUAAACCAGCAAUUGCAAAUAUUGGGGGAUCACUUUCUUUUUUCUUUUCCUCAAAGGUCGUGUCUAUUCCAGAGCUUGGUGACACACAUGAUUCUGUCUGUGUUUUGAUGGAAAUCUUGGGGUGACCAGGAGUUAAGAGCUCUUUUCCUUUUUGGAGAGGAUGGCGUUGCAUAAUUUCCCUAUAAGCCACUGACGUGCUCCCUUCCAACAUCCCUGCCCAUGGGAUGAAAUGGGUGCUCCAAAUGGUGCAGAUGAAAGGAAAAUACUGUGGUGAUCAGUUUGAUAACCUUGCAAUUUGAUGAUGCCUUGCCUUGGCACUGAGAGCUGUGUGCAAAGCCUGUGCUCUCUGCUCUAAGUGUUUUCCAUUUGGAAUCCUGUCUCCUGCAAUUCCCAAAUGACAACGUCCGUAGGAACCUCUUGCAGGGAUGGAACUGGCAUCAAGCUCUUUCUUAUUGUUCCCUGGUGAAGCUAUAAAAGAUGAUCUGGGCAGAAUACAGCAACAUCCUUUCAGGAAAAACCUGUUUAUUCAAAGCCUUUAAUUCACUGGAUACUGGACUGGGAGCUGGUGUAGAGCAUUUGCAGGGUGCUGGGAAGGAGGAGAAGCUUCCCCAGAAGCAUAAUCCAGUCCAAAUUUGUGUUGCAGUUGAAAGAGAAGUGUGGAACUUGUAUUUAUGAUGAUAAAUAUGGUGAUACUGCCUCUCAUGUGCCUGAGACACGUGGCAUUGGAACUGUGGGAAAUGGGAACAGGGUUUCAGAAAGUUUCAGGCUUCUCCUGCUGUAAUUAAGGUACAAAUGUAGCUGAGAGGUUUUUGAUUUGCACAAAUGUUCUGGUUUGACAAAGAUUUCAAUGUCUAAAACAAGCCCCAAUUUUACAACUACACCUACUCCAUAAAUGCUGAUCAAUAAAUUGCUUAAUGCAAUGACAUCUUUUGCAUUAUUAUUGAUGCCUUGGACUUCAGAUCAAUCUUAAGAGACCAGACCCAGUCUUAAUUACCAGCAAGUGUUCGUACCUUGAUUUUUUUGUGCAAUUUAGGAUUUAACAAAUUGGGAUUUACUGGGAGGCCCAUCCUGGGAAGUGCUUCAGGUUCUGGCAUCUUAAUUAUUCAGGUGAUGCUGUGGGUGCAGAUUAAAUAUAAUGAAUCUAUAAUGAAUUAAUAGUUAAAUUAAAUGUGCAUUUUUCUGAUAUGCAGGAGAAUUAAUGUAUGGGAUUUUUCAAUUCAAAGUAUGAUCUUCCUGUGCAGGAAAGAUUCAUGUGGAAUUUCUUUUGCAUGGGAAGAUGACCCAGUGUGUAUCAUACUUGUUAAGUAUCAAGUGACUUUCUUUUGGGCAUGAAAUGUCUUUGGACUUUGAAAAAUAAAGUUGGAACAGGGAUUAGAAUUUAAUUAUUUUGUAGGCAGAGAUGGCCAGGGUAGAGUCCUGAAGUGGUUGGUUGGUUAUUGUAGGACAUUUCCAGACUCAAUAACUCAUUUUUCACCAGAUCUGCAGGCUGUCACCUCUUGUACAUUGUGCAAAAACAUCACUGCUUAUUCCAAAUUGUGUUUAAUGAAUAUCUUCUGAAACGUUGGCUGAAAUUUUAAACACACUCAUGUGCUAAGACUGCAGGUUUAAUUCUUUCUUUUUUGUUCUUUUGUGGCUUUAGUUUGUUUAAUUUGGUUUGUGUCUUGUUUGUUUGGGUUUUCUUUUUUUCAUUUUUUUAUUGUGUCCUUGUGUUUACCUGAUGUUUUUCUGCUUCAGUUCUGUUUCCCAAGGAUAAAAGCGUGUAGCCCUUGAGCCCUCUGAUAAAGCAACAUUUUAGAUUCCCUAAACAAACUUGUGUAAAGCCAAGUUCUUUUGGAACACACUAAAUAAUAUCAGGCUAUGGUUGCCACAUUUUGUUACUGAAUUGUACAUACUCUGCUUUAGUCCAGGGUAAUCAUUACCCCUGUAUAUUUUCUUUAUAAAUAAAUAAGUGUACAGUAGCAAUCCAGCUCCAAAGCACUGUAACUUUGUGAAUUGCUUCAUUAAAACCAUCAUCAUAUUGUUAUUAACUCUCUCUACAUUAAAUCUUUUAAAGAAAACAUUUUUUUCCUAAGUUCAGUGUGGUUUAUGUGCUUAAGUAAUAUGUAUCUGAGAAAACCCCACAUUUAGUUACUGAUUUGUGAUCAAUAUCUUGAUUACUGGAGCUAUUUUUGAUGUUCUGUGGUGAAAUGCAGAGUUAUGCAUUUCCUCAGGGAUUUGGCCAUUCCCACUGACCUUCAUCAGCCUUUAUUUUUUCUUUAGGUGCAUAAUAAAUGGAUAUAUUUCA